UCAAACACAGCCGUUAAAUGAUGGAGAGUUGAGAAGCAAAGUGCACGAGGACAAAAGGAAGAGUCGCCAGUUCAACAUGUCCCACCCGGUGGAAUUCUGUCUCCAAGAUCAAAUCUUUUUUUGCAAAGCGCGGGCAAAGUUUGGGCCGAUGGGAAGCUGUAUCCCUCCGAAAGGGAAAAGUUUGCCCACGAUGUUUUCAUUCUCUACCUCUGAGCCAUGACCGCAGCAGCAGCAGCCCCUGAAUGACACGGAUACUUCACCCAGGAAGGAAACUCCCUGCUUUCCCAAAGGACAUCAUUCCAAAGUCCACUACAGCAGCUGCGCGUAAGCAGCGUGUAUGUUUUUAUAAGGGGACUGAGUCAACGGACACGCAUUUGCAAUAACAAUAAUCCCUCCUCGCUUCCUUUCUCCUCGCAGAUUAUUUGGUAGUUGCAGCUCUACUGUCUGUAUUUAGAAGAUCAAGGAACUGCUGAUAUGCAAACAAUAUUCAGUGAAUGACGCAUAUGGAAGAGGAAAUUUCCGGUUUGAAUACAGAUUAAGUUUUAUGAUGCACAUUUCUGUCUCUCUUUGUUGUAAAUACUGUGUACUUACACAAUCUCUUGAAAUGAAUAGAAAACUGUAACAUGUAUGAUUAUAUCUGUUAAUUUCACAUCAAUGCUUAAUGCUAUUUUUCAUUGAAUUUUGUCCCUGUUCCUCAUAAAUGCUGUUAACUCUUGUCAUACCUCUGAAAGGCAACUCUUUCACUUUCUUAAGGAAUGCCAGGAUCAUAUUCUUCUUUCACUCCUUCGCAUUUUGAAAUACCACCAGUGAUAACUGAAUAAAAGUUAUGAUGCCUAAUUGUUUCUAUAAAAGUUGCAAAAACAUGUACAAGGAAUGUUGAUCAUCCUAAUAUUCCUUAGUCUGCUGCCGUAUAUGAAAGUAACAGUAAUGCUCUAGAGUAUUUAAAUUGAGAUGAUGUCACACAAAAACAAAUAUAAAACAAUGAGCAAGGAUUAACGCUUUACUCUCCAUAAAGAGCCAGCCAGGUUUAUUUGUGUAGCACCUGUUCAACAGCAAGGUAAUGCAAAGAUGUUUAAUAAGUAAAGUACAAUGAGCAAUAAAGACAAUAAGAGACAAGUCAAGUCUUCCAUAAGUAAACACCAGUGAGAAGAUCCACUGUCCGGCUCUAAGUGAG
ensembl:lncRNA